UAGGGAAUCUUCCGCAAUGGACGCAAGUCUGACGGAGCAACGCCGCGUGAGUGAAGAAGGAUUUCGGUUCGUAAAACUCUGUUGUUAGAGAAGAACAGCGCAUAGAGUAACUGUUAUGCGUGUGACGGUAUCUAACCAGAAAGCCACGGCUAACUACGUGCCAGCAGCCGCGGUAAUACGUAGGUGGCAAGCGUUGUCCGGAUUUAUUGGGCGUAAAGCGAGCGCAGGCGGUCAAUUAAGUCUGAUGUGAAAGCCCCCGGCUCAACCGGGGAGGGUCAUUGGAAACUGGUUGACUUGAGUGCAGAAGAGGAGAGUGGAAUUCCAUGUGUAACGGUGAAAUGCGUAGAUAUAUGGAGAAACACCAGUGGCGAAGGCGACUCUCUGGUCUGUAACUGACGCUGAGGCUCGAAAGCGUGGGUAGCAAACAGG
rnacentral:rRNA from 1 species